rnacentral:misc_RNA from 1 species
GAUGAAGAACGUAGCGAAAUGCGAUAAGUAGUGUGAAUUGCAGAAUUCAGUGAAUCAUCGAAUCUUUGAACGCACAUUGCGCCCCCUGGCAUUCCGGGGGGCAUGCCUGUUCGAGCGUCAUUUCACCACUCAAGCCUCGCUUGGUAUUGGGCAACGCGGUCCGCCGCGUGCCUCAAAUCGACCGGCUGGGUCUUCUGUCCCCUAAGCGUUGUGGAAACUAUUCGCUAAAGGGUGUUCGGGAGGCUACGCCGUAAAACAACCCCAUUUCUAAGGUUGACCUCGGAUCAGGUAGGGAUACCCGCUGAACUUAAGCAUAUCAAAAGCGGAGGA